rnacentral:misc_RNA from 1 species
GAUGAAGAACGUAGCGAAAUGCGAUAAGUAAUGUGAAUUGCAGAAUUCAGUGAAUCAUCGAAUCUUUGAACGCACAUUGUGCCCUCUGGUAUUCCGGGGGGCAUGCCUGUCCGAGCGUCAUUACAACCCUCAAGCUCAGCUUGGUGUUGGGCCCCGCCGCCCCGGCGGGCCCUAAAGUCAGUGGCGGUGCCGUCCGGCUCCGAGCGUAGUAAUUCUUCUCGCUCUGGAGGUCCGGUCGUGUGCUCGCCAGCAACCCCCAAUUUUUUUCAGGUUGACCUCGGAUCAGGUAGGGAUACCCGCUGAACUUAAGCAUAUCAAUAAGCGGAGGA